rnacentral:lncRNA from 1 species
UCAGCAGUUACAUAGGAACUACAGACAAAAGUGCAUUCAAAGUGUUAAUCCAUCAAAUUUCUUACAGCCUGUAGUGGAUAUGCAGAAAUAGGCUUGAGAGAGUUAUUUAGGGGAAGAAUUGCAGAGACAGCUCUUUUAUUGACUGCUACUCUCAUGGAACAAAAUGCAGAAAAGGGGAUUUUUGUUAGGCAUUUGCAGGCUGUGACUGUCUCUGUAGAUGGUUUAGUUGUGUUAAAGACUGGAUUAUGGAAGCAUCCUUAUGUUUGCUGAUGUAUUUAAGAAAAGAUUUGCAGCCUUGGACAAUGGGAAAUCAUGCAGUCCAAUAGCAGAUGGAAACAUUCGAGAAGGCGGCUGAGAGGGACACAUGAAGUUCAGGGACAUCACCAAACAGACCAAAGUGAGAAGAAUAAUACAGAGCUUAGUACACAUUUAAAGAACUCAGCAUGAAGUUCAAGAUGAAAAUGACAAAAUGAGCA